CAAGGAAUAGUUUAAAUAGAAUUUCAGCUUUGGGUGUUGAUGGUGAAGUGUGUUCUUCUUCCUUGA
rnacentral:tRNA from 1 species